GCCUGGGUGGCUCAAUAGGUCAAGCAUCUGACUUUGGCUCAGGUCAUGAUCUCACAGUUUGUGGGUUCCAGCCCCACUUUGGGCU
rnacentral:tRNA from 1 species